rnacentral:rRNA from 1 species
GACGAACGCUGGCGGCGUGCUUAACACAUGCAAGUCGAACGGAAAGGCCCUGCUUUUGUGGGGUGCUCGAGUGGCGAACGGGUGAGUAACACGUGAGUAACCUGCCCUUGACUUUGGGAUAACUUCAGGAAACUGGGGCUAAUACCGGAUAGGAGCUCCUGCUGCAUGGUGGGGGUUGGAACGUUUCGGCGGUUGGGGAUGGACUCGCGGCUUAUCAGCUUGUUGGUGGGGUAGUGGCUUACCAAGGCUUUGACGGGUAGCCGGCCUGAGAGGGUGACCGGCCACAUUGGGACUGAGAUACGGCCCAGACUCCUACGGUAGGCAGCAGUGGGGAGUAUGGCACAAUGGGCGGAAGCCUGAUGCAGCAACGCCGCGUGCGGGAUGACGGCCUUCGGGGUGUAAACCGCUUUCGCCUGUGACGAAGCGUGAGUGACGGUAAUGGGUAAAGAAGCACCGGCUAACUACGUG